GACGAACGCUGGCGGCGUGCUUAACACAUGCAAGUCGAACGGAAAGGCCCUGCUUUUGUGGGGUGCUCGAGUGGCGAACGGGUGAGUAACACGUGAGUAACCUGCCCUUGACUUUGGGAUAACUUCAGGAAACUGGGGCUAAUACCGGAUAGGAGCUCCUGCUGCAUGGUGGGGGUUGGAAAGUUUCGGCGGUUGGGGAUGGACUCGCGGCUUAUCAGCUUGUUGGUGGGGUAGUGGCUUACCAAGGCUUUGACGGGUAGCCGGCCUGAGAGGGUGACCGGCCACAUGGGGACGGAGAUACGGCCCAGACUCCUACGGGAGGCAGCAGUGGGGAAUAUUGCACAAUGGGCGGAAGCCUGAUGCAGCAACGCCGCGUGCGGGAUGACGGCCUUCGGGUGGUAAACCGCUUUCGCCUGUGACGAAGCGUGAGUGACGGUAAUGGGUAAAGAAGCACCGGCAAACUACGU
rnacentral:rRNA from 1 species